UUUUUUGUUUUGACGGUAAUUCUUAUUCACGCAUUUUGCCGCAAUUUUCUAGCGUCAACAAAAAACUUUCAAAUGUUUAUUUUUUCAUGAAAAAGUAAUUAUUCCAAGAAUGAAUGUUAGAAUAAAAAUGUGA